CCCUUAGAUGUUCUGGGCCGCACGCGCGCUACACUGACGAAGUCAGCGAGCAUGUCCUACGCCGACAGGUGCGGGGAAUCUUGUCAAACUUCGUCGUGAUGGGGAUUGAUUAUUGAAAUUCUUGAUCAUCAACGAGGAAUUCCUAGUAAGCGCAAGUCAGCAGCUUGCGUUGAUUACGUCCCUGCCCUUUGUACACACCGCCCGUCGCUACUACCGAUUGAAUGGUUUAGUGAGAUCUUCGGAUUGGCGCCACUGCGGCUCAGCAAUGGGCUCGGUGGAUGCCGCAAAGUUGAUCAAACUUGAUCAUUUAGAGGAAGUAAAAGUCGUAACA
rnacentral:rRNA from 1 species